rnacentral:rRNA from 1 species
AACGAACGCUGGCGGCAUGCCUAACACAUGCAAGUCGAACGAGACCUUCGGGUCUAGUGGCGCACGGGUGCGUAACGCGUGGGAACCUGCCCUUAGGUUCGGAAUAACUCCCCGAAAGGGGUGCUAAUACCGGAUAAUGUCUUCGGACCAAAGAUUUAUCGCCUUUGGAUGGGCCCGCGUUGGAUUAGCUAGUUGGUAGGGUAAAAGCCUACCAAGGCGACGAUCCAUAGCUGGUCUGAGAGGAUGAUCAGCCACACUGGGACUGAGACACGGCCCAGACUCCUACGGGAGGCAGCAGUGGGGAAUAUUGGACAAUGGGCGAAAGACUGAUCCAGCAAUGCCGCGUGAGUAAUGAAGGCCUUAGGGUUGUAAAGCUCUUUUACCCGGGAUGAUAAUGACAGUACCGGGAGAAUAAGCUCCGGCUAACUCCGUG